AAAAACAUAGCCCUUGUAAAUAUCAAAGGUGUAACCUGCCCAAUGAUUUUUAUUUAAAAAAUAAGAAAAAUAUUUAAAAAAAAUUUAAAGGACGCGGUAACCUUGACUGUGAUAAUGUAGCAUAAUCACUCGCCAUUUAAUUGAUGGAUAGUAUGAAUGGUUGAACGAAUAUUACACUAUCUAAAAAAUAGAUCUCAUAAAAAUGAAAUAAUAGUUAAGAUGCUAUUUAAAAUUGUAAGACGAAAAGACCCUAUAGAGCUUAACUAUAAUCUUUUUUAUUAAAAAGAAAAAGUUUCUGAAAAAAGAAAGAUUGGUAGUUUAGUUGGGGCGACUAUUUUUUAAAAUAAACAAAAAUAAGCAAUAUUAAUAAAAUAAUUUAUUGUAUAAUAAACAAAUUUAACAAUUACCAAAGUAGGCUAUAAUGACCCGUUAUUAUUACAUAAUAAAAAUAACGAUUAAUGAAUAAAAGCUACCUUAGGGAUAACAGGAUAAUUUUAUCUAAGAGUCCUUAUCAAAGAUAAAGUUUGUCACCUCUAUGUUGAAUUAAGAUGUCCAAAUAGUGCAGAAGCUAUUAAGGGUAGGUCUGUUCGACCUUUAAAAUCUUACAUGAUUUGAGUUCAUU
rnacentral:rRNA from 1 species